rnacentral:tRNA from 1 species
GCCCUGGUGGCGCAGUGGUUAAGCACUUGGCUGCUAACCAAAAGGUCGGUGGUUCAAACCCACCACUGGCUU